UUGGGUUCCAUGUUGGGGCAUGUCUUCGAACCAACCUUCUAUGGGUAUAGAGGGAUGAUGUAAUAAUUUCCUAGAAAUCAACUAUGUUCUUUCAUGCUCAAUGAAUACCAUCAUGCACGAUAUUUCAGCAGUUCAUUCCAUGCAACGGCUGUUCUUGGAAAGGCAGGAGAUGGAUAUCCCCAGCUUGCUGUUCCUUUGGGUGCUCUCUAAUCUCCUCUCUGUUUCAUGUGGCAGUUAAAAGUGACCCUGGGUAUGGGAGAGAUAGCUCAGCUGCUAGAAGCCCUCGCUGCUCUAACGGAGGAGCAGAGUUCCAGUCCUGGCAGCUCACAACCACCAUAACUCCAGCUCAAGGGAUCUAGGUGCCUUCUUGGUGCCUGGACUCAGUAUGCAGGUAAAUUUGGUAACUGAUGGAACCUGCCUCCUGUGUGAACGUGGACCCUGCUGUGUUCUGGCAUCCAUGUGGAGUCAUGAAGUCAUCAACUGGAAGAGAACCCAGGGGUCAGAGCUGACAGUAAGGCUGGAGAAAUGGAUUCUGAAGCCAGUGGUGCUGGCUGAGAAUGUAGGUAGGAGAAAAGAGGGUUUGGGGGGACCUUCCCUGAGGGCUGUGUAAAAAAGACAGCACUGGCCAAUGGUGAGGCAGAAAGAAACUAGAGUGUGUGGUCAUGGGAGCCCAAUGUGGAAAGAGAUGACCUGUCAAAUGACAGGCAAGGCCGGACAGAGCAGGCUGAACUGAACAGGCGUGGAGACAUACUAUGACAGUCUGAAAAGC